rnacentral:rRNA from 1 species
GACGUAGGGCGCGAGCGUUGUCCGGAUUUAUUGGGCGUAAAGAGCUCGUAGGCGGUUUCGUAAGUCGGAUGUGAAAACUCCAGGCUCAACUUGGAGACGCCAUUCGAUACUGCGAUGACUUGAGUCCGGUAGGGGAGUGUGGAAUUCCUGGUGUAGCGGUGAAAUGCGCAGAUAUCAGGAGGAACACCGGCGGCGAAGGCGGCACUCUGGGCCGGUACUGACGCUGAGGAGCGAAAGCGUGGGUAGCAAACAGG